rnacentral:rRNA from 1 species
GGAGGGCAAGUCUGGUGCCAGCAGCCGCGGUAAUUCCAGCUCCAAUAGCGUAUAUUAAACUUGUUGCAGUUAAAAAGCUCGUAGUUGAAUUUCGGGGUUAGUAGGUUGGUCAUGCCUCUGGUAUGUACUGAUCUCACUGAUUCCUCCUUCCUUAUGAACCGUAAUGCCAUUAAUUUGGUGUUGCGGGGAAUUUGGACUGUUACUUUGAAAAAAUUAGAGUGUUUAAAGCAGGC